UGAUCUAGCCCCCCAGACGCCACGGCGGCAAAGCCCAAACACCCUCGCGUCAGAUCUCCUACCUCUCACGACUGCGCCCUUAGUAAUUUGGGUCGUGACUGGGGUGGUGGUAGGGAUUGGCUGAGGAUCGGUACAUCUGAUAAAGAAGGGGAUAAUCCUGUGUGAAAGGAGGGCAAGGGCGAGAGAGUUUUGGCUUGGGGACAGUGAUGCCUUAAGGAUAGAUCUGUUCUGGAGGUAAACCUCCCCUUUGCUCUAUUUAUUUCUUCGAUACCUGAUUAUGCGCUAAUUGCCUAGCUUUAUAGCGCAGCUGGCAGUAGUUUACGAAAGAGUUGAACCGACUCAACUAACAAGGAAAGAUCUAAACAGAUCCUGAGCUAAGCAUGUCCUAUUAUAUGGGUUCGCAGCACAGGAAUGAGUAAGAUUGAUCUUGUGCACAGGUACAGACUGAGACAGAUGGAUCAGACUAGUACUCCACACCUAAAUGGCCUGAAAGGAAAGCUUUGGAUUUGACGGCUCGCAGAAAAGGAAUUUAGGGCUUUGCCAACAACAAAUCCAGAUGGAUCAAUGUCAUUACUGAAGAGAGGAUGAUAUGGAGGAGGGCGCCAGCAACUCUGGAAGAGUUGUGUUAGGUGUAAAGGCAGGUGAAGGGGGCUGCAAACUUACAACGGAAAAACUAUUUUGAAUUUGCGCAUCACAUUGUAGUAAGAUUUGAGCAUGCAAUACGACCGUGACAUGUCAGCCUAGUGAGGCAGCGUAUGUACCCAAUACGUGUCGCCAUCUUCCCAGAUCCAGCACAACCAACAUCUCACCGCCAGGCGCCGGCCCGCACAUCCCACAAACGGUCGGCUGACCGCUAGUUGCAAACCCACACCGCAGCACUACCAUCCCACCUAAUAUGCUGCCCAAGCACAAAAAAUGCAACCCUAGCUUCAGCACUUCUUAUUUUUCUCAAUUAUCAAUUUCUACAUUAAAAAAAGCAGUGAGUUGAAAUUCAUCCACCUUGGCUUAGGUUAAGGUACACAUAAUAGUGCUCCUGAUUCUACAAUGGGAUGCAAAAUGUACAUACAUGCAGUGGCCAAGCCAUGAUUGAAGUAAACCCCGGGCCAAAGUUUUAUGGCCUAUAACUACCCAUAGAGAUACCUCAUAACCACCUCUAAAAAAACUUGCUAAAACAUACAUAAAAUUGCUUGAUUGCACAAUAAAUCUAGAACUUAAACUCAACGCUGAAAUGCUAGGUGUAGACACUCCCGUUGCGGGGCACCGGUGAAAACUAUCGCGGCAUCUUCUAUUUCUACAACAUUAAAUGAAAUUGAUAUGAAAAUGCGUUAACUCGAGUUCAAUCAAUACAAUGUACAUACACAUAAUUCUAUUUCAGGUCUAUUUCAGUUCACUUUCAGUUCAACGUCAAAUGCAUCAAUUUCAGUCCUGUCUCUCGGUACGAAAAAAUUACCCAGUGAGUGGUGCCCGGCGGCAGCAGGACGGCGAUCGGGG
rnacentral:lncRNA from 1 species